AGUGUAACAAGUACUUGAAAUGUAGAGCCGGCCGUUGUGGUCCAUUGUAUUGCUCAUGCAAACCAUUGUAUAAUUUUAAAGGAUGGUAAGUUUGAAAAGUAUUUCAUUUCCAAGAUAAAUUCUUUCAACUCUUAAAAAGAAUGCAUGUAUGCAUCUCAAACUCAUUAAUAAUUCAUGAGCAAAUUAGCGAAUGAACUCACCCUAAUUCGUCACAUGAUUGAGGUUGGAUACCGCAAGGAAACACGCUAAAAAUCAUAUACCAUCACUGUUGUUAGAUGAAAAACGGUUUUCAUCUAAUAAGUGAGAUCCUAAUUACAAAUUCAAGUCAAAACACAACAAUAUACUAUAAUAAUAUAUAUAAGCCAAUGAAAUGUUUUCGUUUGAGAUGUUGUGAAAACAACUCGUUUCUCGUGUUUCAUCAGGGGACCAAACACUCGAAAACAAUAAAACACUCGCGCUUCGCGCUCGUGUUUCAUACAGUUUUCUCGUGUUUGGAUCCCCUGAUGAAACACUCAAACUCGUUGUUUACAUAUAACAUGAAAUGUUAAAUGGAGACACAAUGGGUUUCAUUAUUUUUGUCUUGAUUUAUCAUGCAGAAAUGUCAGUGCAUCGUCACGUGCAUGUGCAUUGUAUUUUCGACAAUGAAAACAUUGCUACUGGUUGAUUUGGCGAAAAAAAUUUCCGCACGUGUGACGAUAAAGUGGCAAUAUUUUUGCAUAAACUUAAACCGAUAACGAUAUUGAGCUCUAUUGCAUUUUCAUCGAGUUUCUAACCUUGCUUCACUUUUAUAUAUACAUGGACUAUUAUUUAUAGUAUAGUCACAAUGCUUUUUGUUUCAGUGUCAGAGUGCAGCAAAUGCAUGGGGUUCAAAUACAUACAUACAUACAUACAUACAUACAUACAUACAUACAUACAUACAUACAUACAUACAUACAUACAUACAUACAUACAUACAUACAUACAUACAUACAUACAUACAUACAUACAUACAUACAUACAUACAUACAUACAUACACUUUAUUUUAACUCGUAUUUACAGAGUAGCUCAAACAAUGAGCUCAGUGUUUUCAACUAGCAAAGUUAAGUUCAUCAAAUAUACUUACAUGCCAUACGACUCGUAACAUGUUACAUAGGAGAUCUUGUGUAAAGUACACACGAGUGACCACGAGUGACCACGAAUGACCACGAAUGACCACGAGUGACCACGAAUGACCACAAGCAAUUCUGUGUUUAAAAAUCAUGAAAUAAUAUUCAAAAACUCAUUAAUAAUUCAUGAGGAAAACACAAAGAGAAAUCAUAAGCGUGGCGUGUCUUUAUAUGUGAUAAAACACGCUUCAAAUUUCAACUUGUAUUUUCUCAGCUAAUACAAAGUUAUUUUGGAAAAUUAUUUCGCCAAUGCCGUGAUCUAACUAAGACGUUUUUGAAGCUGUUUAAUAAACACGUAGUUCGUGUUUUAUCACAUAUAAAACACUCCGCUACGCGUCGUGUUUUAUAUGUGAUAAAACACUCCUACUCGUUUAUUAAACAGUACAUAAAAACUAUUUUAAGGUGGCUCCCUAAGGUUUUUGCAUUAUACUACACUAUAGUAUCCAGAAAACGCCUGUUUCUUCACUUUACAUAACAUGAAGACGACAUUUAUUGGACACAUUGACUAUGCUCUCCUGAACAUUGUAAUGUGCUACUUUUGUGCUGAAAGCCCGUUACCAUGGCAACAGCGUGCUUAGGAUUAGGCUCAAAAUUUGUCUUUUUUCGGCCAUUUUAAAAAUCCCUUAGGGAAAUUUUUUUGAGUUUUUCGACUAUUGUACACGUCAGUCUACAGGAAUGUAGCAAAGCAUCUGAAGUUGGGGGGGGGAGGUUUCGGAGGAUUUUACCUGAAAUUUGAAUUUUUAAUAAAUAUUUACCUUAAGUGUAAUAAUUAUAAUAAAGCUUUUUGCAAGGCAUUUUUUAAUACCAUGGACUGAUGGGACAUUUGCCCCACUGGGCCCGGCCUUCCUCUGCCCCACCACUGAAGAAAAAAAUGACCUAUUUCCCCAAAGCCAGGGCCCUAUGACUUGUAUUGAGUAAAUAAGUUUAAAUUAACAUUGAAAAGAAGUUUAAAAACGCUAAAAUUUGUUGGUGAGCAUACUUAAGCCCCGUUUACACUACGCUCAAUUUUUGGUACAGCACGGAUAAAAUUGGUACCCGUACCACUUUUGGGAUUAACUUGCACGGUCAUACUAAGUUUCGGGAGAAAACGGGGAUUUGGGGGUCCUCUCCCAGACAAUUGUUCCAUUUUUGAAGCUCUAGGACUGCAAUUCUGGCGUUUUCUGAAGCAAAUUUGCAAACAAAUUGAAUGGAUGUAUAUUGACUGUAUAUUUUACAAAAAUGGUUACCAUUUCACACAAAUAAUUACUUUAUUAAAUUUUAUCUGGAAUUUUACCUGAUUUUUGUCUAAGUUUCACAGUUAUGGGGGGGGGGGGGGGUUACACGUCACAUCUCGCAAAAAAUGCCAAAAUCAGUUAAACCUAAAUUUCUCCCUUUUCCUUCGGUAAAUUGUUUUAAAACUUUGCACAUUUCUUAGUAACAGCUAAACAAGCUCAAUAUCUUUUUUUCUUAAAAGGAAUAAUCUAAGAAAUGUUCCAUAUAAUUUUUUAAAAUUGAAGAAAAAAAUCAUUAAACAAGAAAGAUCUUUUAUUUAAAUUUUUAAAUUUUUGAAACGGCCGGAAAAAAUAAAUUUUGAGCUUAAUUAUCCAAAGCACGCUGUCACCAUGGUAACGGACUUUCAGCGCAAAAGUAGUAAAUUGAGAUACUUUAUUGCGUGUUCCCCUAAGGGCUUUUCAGCACUACAUUACAUAUUAAAAUUACUAUAAAUUACUUCUAAAACUACCUAUGUUACAUAAUUAUACUUAUUUAAAUUGCAAUGUUCAGGAGAGCAUUGUCAAUGUGUCCAAUAAAUUUCGUCUUCGUGUCAUGUAAAGUGAAGAAACAGGAGUUUUCUGGAUACAAAAGUGUAGUUUAAUGCAAAAACCCUAUGGAUCCACCUUAAAAUAGUUUUUUAUUAUUGUUUUAUGACUUUUAAUUAAACACAGAAAUCACUCGUGGUCACUCGUGGUCAUUCGUGGUCACUCGUGGUCAUUCGUGGUCAUUCGUGGUCACUCGUGGUCACUCGUGUGUACUUUUAGACAAGAUGUAAUGUUGCGAUGUAACGAUAUUUAGCCUCGAAAAGUACUCGAUUUAGCACAAAAACAGUGAAAAUAAACUUUAAUACGAAAUUCCUACACGAGUUUACUGUUUACUUAGCGUUCUUGUCUAUAGUACACUGAUCUCAAUAAUCCACUGAUUGUCUGCGCGCGCGUGUCCCGCGUUUUGUGUGUAAGAGUCGUAUCUCUUCUAAACAUCCCCCCUCCCCGCACUGCUGAACAUGCAAUUUCAGUGCGAUUUAACUAUUUUAACUCUUUUCUAGUCCAUAAUAUCAAUGUUCAAGUUUAAGGUCCCGAGUCCUUUCAAACUGAAGGCUCUAUCUACAAGUCAAGAAACUAUACUCUUAGUGGGACAAGUUUGUGAAUGGGUCUGACCAAUGACUUGUUUCCCAGCUGCACCUUUGUCACUCUGCUAUGUCCGUCUUUCCCUGGAUAUGUCGCUAUGAUUCGUCCCAAUGGCCAUUUUCCUCUCGGCAAGUCUUUAUCUAAGACCAGAACAACGUCACCAUCUUUCAAAUCUUUUACCACGUUCGUCCACUUCGGUCGUGUGUUCAAUGUUGGUAAAUAUUCCUUCAACCAGCGGUCUCAUACUCAUGACAGAAUUGCUUGUACCUUACGCCAUCUUUCACGAGGAUUAGCGUCCAUGUCGAUCACUUCUGGUGCAAAUUCUCCGCCUAGCUGAACAUGAAGAAAGUGGUUGGGUGUGAGUGGAACAUCAUCAGGAUUCAUCGAUUGGUAGGUUAUUGGUCGAGAGUUCAAGAAACCUUCGACACCUGCGCAUAUAGUAAUCAACUCCACGUCAGUAACAUCACUGUUCUUGAUCACCGCAUAAAUGGUCUUCUUAGCGGCCUUAACCGUUAUUUCAAAAACUCCACCAAAAUGAGGACCUCCAGGAGGAUUGAAAGCCCAUGUAGUACCCUUCUGUGUUGUGUCUCGCUGAAUCUUUUCUCGGUCUAACAGUUUCACCAGAUCUUCUAAUUCUUUCACUGCCCCGACAAAGUUCGUACCGUUGUCACUGAUUACUUCCUUAGGAACUCCUCUUCUACUGGUAAAUCUGGUAAACGCAUUGAGAAAACUGUCAGUAUCAAGCCCCCAGGCUACCUCUAAAUGGACGGCGUGCAUGUGUAGUUAGGCAUGUAAACAAACAAAGCCACCGUUUAAGUCGUUGUUUUCCUCGUCCUUGGACUGUCGUGAACGGUCCUGCAUAAUCUAAAGCAGUCUGAUCAAAAGCUCGGUAGGUGAAACGAAGACGCACUUCCGGCAGGGGUCCCAUAACCUGAGAAGCCAGCUUGUUCCGUCGCUUUUGGCAUGUACAACACUCGUUCUCCCACUCUCUUAUUUCUUCUCUAGCUGCCACAAUCCAAAAUAUCUUUGGCUGAUUUGAGCAAGCACAAAAUUAGUUCCUGCGACGUGGUUUGCCAAUGCAUGAUAAUAUCGCACGAUCAGUUUGGCAACCCAAUGUCCGCGAGGCAGAAUUAUCGGGCAUCUUCCGUCGUAGGGUAAGCUUUCAGCGUAGUAGAGACGGCUGUUGCACCGAAUAACACCUUCGCUAGUUGACUCUUCGCUGGCAGAGGUUUUCCAUUCGAUAGAGCUGCGUACUCCGCUGCAAAGGACUCUUCUUGUGCCUUACGAAUGAUCACGUCUUCAGCAUCACGAAUUUCCUCCGGUGCGAGCUCGGUUUGCCACUGCUGACGCUUCUGCUUGUUCCUCAAAUUCGUCAAGAACCUGCUAACUCUUGCUUGUAUGCGGACUAAGUGCUUCCAGUCUGAAACCCGUUUUGGAUCCAACCGCCAGAUAUCUGUGGGUUGUAUCACUUCUUCUGAUUUCGUUGCCAGACUGUGACUACCAUCGGAAACCACUGCAUUUCCUUUUCUAUCCUUCUUGUGGGCAUCUUUCGUUUCCGGAAGAUUAACUGGAGAUUUCGUCAAAUCCAUUUGAGGCCACUGCGAAGUAUCCUAUACCAACCAUACUGGACCAUUCCACCACAACGUAGACUCGGACAAUUGCAACGGUGUUGCACCUCGCGUGCACAGGUCCGCAGGAUUUUUAGCAGUGGGAACGUGCUGCCACUGUGCAGGAUUGCUAUACAUUUGUAUCUCUCCAAUUCGGUUAGCUAUAAACGGUCGAAAGUCUCUCCCAUAGCCACGAAUCCACCACAGAACGUCAGCACUGUCAGAAUAGAAGCUAACAUCCUGCAUGCUCAUUUCAAACGCCCGAAGAACAUUCUGCGUAAGUCGUAGGCCGAGAACUGCAGCCAUUAAUUCUAGUCUAGGUACCGUCAUUGGUAACAACGGUGCUACCUUACUCUUAGAGGCGAUUAAUCUGCUAGAGCGAGUGCCAUCCUCGUAUGUACAUCUCAAAUAGACAACAGCUCCGUAUGAUUUAAGUGAAGCGUCAACGAAUGUCACCAUUUCUCGACGAGCUACUACCUUGUUCUCACAUAAACACCUUGGCACAUGUAUUGUUGCGACAUCAUGCAACUGCUCAAACCAUGCUGAUAUCCGAAUUGCGAUUUCAUCUUCGAUUGUGUCAUCCCAGUCGUAGCCGCGAGCCCAAAGUUCUUGCAAUAUGACCUUGGCGACCAUUACGAAAGGACUCAUGACAAACCCAAGUGGGUCAAAUACCGCAGCAAUCGUUCGUAAAACGUUACGUUGGUUAGUGGAAGGUCGGAGGAGACUCUAGAAGCAGGUAGUGUCAGGAUAUCUUCUUUGCUGUCCCAAGCAACACCAAGGGUUUUAACAACUGGGUAUUUGUCAUCGGUAAUUGUGAGCUGCACUGCUUGGUCUUCCACUGGGAUCGCCUUCAUAAUCGCUUCCGAAUUCGAAACCCACUUCCUUGCCUGCAUUCCCGCAUGAUUCCAAAGCGAACUUAACUGCCGAUAUAACUUGACGCCGAUCUCGUCUGUCUCCACAUUGUCUAUCGAGUCAUCCAUAUAAGUCGACUUUAAAACGGUUUCUGCCGCUAAUGGAUGGGUUUCUUGGUGUAGUCUUGCAUUCUCUUGUGCGAUAAACUGCGCCUCCAUGGGGGCCGAAUUCUUGCCAAAGACGACACGAGUGAACUCAUAGACAUCGGGCUCUUUCGUAGUGUGUAGAUCACGCCACAGAACUCGAAAAUAUGGACGAUCGUUUUCUUCAAUUUCCACUUGCAGAUACAUCUCUUUAAUCAACCUCGUUCCCAGGGCUUCAGUGUGAGGACGAGGCGAGACACGAGGAAGCCCUGGUCCGGGCAGGUCAAUUUUGUAUUCUGAUUGGCUAACACCAUAUUGUCUAAAAAUAACUGAACUAGACAGUUGACAAUAACAAUUCACCAUUUGUAUUUUUAUGAUUCUUGUGUGUACGAGUAUGUUUUGCAAAAUAAUCUUUCAAAGUAAGACGUUUUUCCGACUGCAUGAUUUACUUUCGCCUCGGCCGGUUACAAAACUCAAAAGCCGUGUCGAAGUGAGCUGUGAUGUUUCCUGACAAAACAAGAAACGUCUACUAGCUGUAGUUUUCCUUGUACAGUGUUUAUUAGUGCAGAUGUCUGAUGAAAUACUACGCGUAUUGCAUUGUUGUAAUAUUUUAAUUUACAAUAUUCUGUACUGACAAAUAAAAGCAAGACAAACAAUUAAAUGAAACUACUAAAUAAAUUAUGCCCUGUUUACUUAAUAGCUCUACGCCUAGGCCGAUGUAGUCUCCACAAGAUUCGCACGCCACCCAGUUUUCAGUUUCAGCAUACCCCGAAUACUUGAAAAUUGCUACUAUAUACGAUAAAAUAAAACAAAGAUUGUGAAGGGGAUAAAAUUUGUAGGCAAACAUUCGGCUCCUGAACGGCAAGUGUUGGUGUCCGGCGAAACAAGCGAAUUCGUAUAUUCCUAUACAGCGUAAACAGGUUACGCGAGGUUUAAUAUAAUAGUUGUGUUUAUUUAUAUUGAACUAAGUCAGAUCUAUAAGAGCAUAUUUAAACUAAACUAUUUAUUUGUUUCGAAGACUUGUAUAUUUCAUUAAAGCAUAUCUCGCCACUCCUUGACGAGUAGCUGUCAAAUACUGCCAUUUUUUGUCGUCACGUGACCGGCCCGGACUAGGGCUUCCUCGUGUCUCUCCUCGUCCUCACACUGAAGCCCUGGGAACGAGGUUGCUCUUUAAUAUCGCAAGCUAAUGCUACUGAAUGACGCCGAAAACGAAGUAAUACAUCGAAAAGCUCCUUCUGUAACUUCGGUCCAGGAUUAAUGACAUCGUUCAAGGAUAGUCCGUCUGUUUUAGCCGAACAAUCGAAAACAAUCCGUACUUUUGUCGUUGUCUUGUCCAUUCGAAUAAUUGGGAAAUGUGGCAAAUACCAUACUUCGGGAGGGAUCACUUCGUCUUUUCUGCAAGUAGCGCUAUCCCUUCUCCAAAUACGAUUCAAUUGUAUGUUGAUACUCCCUGCUCACGAUUUCAUCCUUCUUCAACUUCCGAGUCUCGAUAAUGCAUUGUUUUUGUUGUCUGGGAGUUUUGGACGAUUCUCUUUCCAAGGAAUGGCGAUCUCGUAUCUAGACGUUGCACUAUUGUGGCUGAUUGAUUCUUUCACCUUCUUCAGAGCUUCCCUAUUCCUCGCUGUUUCUCAGUGGCUCCAAUGCAACUCCAUCCUAGUGGUCCGAGUCGGGCUAUUGGGCUUCCUGGUUCCCCCCGAACAUCUGCUCUUGAAUACAGUAAAUCUGCGUUGUCCACUCCAAUCAAUAAGUCCACUAAACCUUCCUUUGCUGGUGUUGCAAAAUGACAACUCUGAAUAUGUGGCCAGUUGGUUUUAUUCUUUGACCAAUCCUCUACUUUGUAGCUUCCCGUUACGUUCUGAGGGCACGUUUUGACACUAAUUUCCUUUCGAUACUGUCCGUUAACACUUUCAAUCAUAAUCUCCACGGGCAUGGACUGGAACGUUUCAACCUCAUUGUUUAACACCUGAACUUUAACUGUCUUGUACGGCUCUUGUAGCCCUAACACUCCAGCAACUUGUUCAUUUAGAAAUGUUUCAUUGGAAGCGUCAUCCAGAAUAGCGUUGACUUUAACUUUUUAACCAUUUGCCUUUAACCAUACUGGAAUGGUACGAAGCGACAAAACUUCAGCAGUCGGCACACUCUUAUUUCUUGAAGUGUGUGUUCGUGUCUCUGCCCCCUCCCGUGUCAACGGUGACUUCUAACCUUCUUCCUUCUCCUUCGGUACAACGUCAUGCAACAAGUUGUGAUGGCUUCUUUUGCACCCUUGCACUGCGCAUGGCUUUGACCUGGUGCAGUCCUUACCGACAUGAUUACUUGCAAGACAUCGAUAACAUAAAUGUUUUUCCUUUGCGACUCCCCAACGAUCUGGCACACUCAAGCCAGGAAAUACCUUACAGGACCAAACCCCAUGAUUGCCACCACAUACUGCGCAAGGUGACUGUGAAUACGGGCUGCGUGUAUCGUUGUUGCUGUGUUUUCCAUCUCGAUUAGUGAACCAGGUUCGAGGUCGAUAACCUCUUUCAGUUGGCUUGGACUUUCCUCUGUCAUACUCUCUAGUCUGCCUUGGUUCAACUCCUUGGGCCAUUUCUGUAGCCUCAACUCGGAUGAUUACUUCUUCCUUUAGCCAGUCUCUCAAGGCUUUCACUGACCGUAUCUUAUGUUGUUCACUACACCAUCGACUGUAAUUUUCUACUUGACGUUCCGAUAGUUUCUUUACCAGCAGGCUAUGCAAUGCACCAUCUCCCAGUUCCCCACUGCGCCCCUCAGCUUCCAACUUCACUACGGUUAUCCGCACAAGAUCAGGAAACUUUUCGAAAGACUGAAUGUCACUGUUCUUCAGAGUUGGCAUAUUUUCUAACUGAUCGAGGUAAGCUUGCAACUGACGACGUUGUCCACCAAACUUAGAUUUUAAUAUGUCCUUAGCCUCAUUAUACUCUGGCGCCGUAACAUCCAGUCCACGAAUUCCAUCAAGGGCAUUUCCUGAAAGACUUUGACGUAGUCGAGCCAUUUUAAUAUUUACAGUCUCACUCCCUUCAUCAACUAGGCUGAUGAAUAAUGCCCAAAAAUCCUUUUGUUCCAAAGUUAUAUUUAAGAAAUUAAUAACUUCACCAUAAAGUUCCACAAAUAUAUCAACAAAUCACAAUCAAUAACUUUAGUUUGUACUUACGCGUCCAUUAAAACAACUGUUUAUCCCCUGCUUUCCUGGCUAUCCCCAACCAUCAAGUACGUGGCACAGUAUAUUUAAUACUUUAUUAAUAUAAAUGCCGUCUAAUUCCAAAUACCCUGUAAACUUGCUAUAAUUCGAUGUAAAUAUAUCGUAGAAACACCCAAUAAAGUUUAAAACGAAGCCGAGUUUACCACAAAUUUAUAAAACGUCCCCGAAUAUUGUUGCAAUACCGAUACAACUACGAAUAAACGCUGUAAAUACGCCAAAAGUCCUCGAGCACGAUGUUGUGAAAUUUUCCCCGAUAAUUUUUAACCACGCAAUUCACUUUAAAACCCCCAAAUUCCUCGAAUUGUCCUGGCAGGAUCGCCAAAUGUUGCGAUGUAACGAUAUUUAGCCUCGACAAGUACUCGAUUAGGUACAAAAACAGUGAAAAUAAACUUUAAUACGAAAUUCCAACACGAGUUUACUGUUUACUUAGCGUUCUUGUCUAUAGUACACUGAUUUCAAUAAUCCACUGAUUGUCUGCGCGCGCGUGUCCCGCGUUUUGCGUGUAAGAGUCAUCUCUUCUAAACAUGUAAGGAUAUAAUACAUAAUAAUUAGUAUACGAUUAUUUUCUUAAUCUUAGAGACCACCUGCAGCGCUAUAGCAGCUGAUAAAGGUUAUAUGAUGAAUUGGAAGCAUAUAUAUUAACUUAACCAAACGCUAGGUCUGUACAGAGAAAUAUCGGACCGAGGUCUUUUUUGUACAGACCGAGCCCGUAUAGGGCGAGGUUUGCACAAAAAGACCGAGAUCCGAUAUUUCUCUGUACAUAUCGAGCAAGCGAGGUUAAUAAUAAAAAGUUUAUUAUUAUGGCAUUUAUACUUGAAACAAACAAGAAAUGCAUGAUUUGAAAUGCAUAUUAGUAGCGCGGUACACAUUUGGUCGAAGAAAACAAAAAUACCAAAUUUAUUCUUUCUUUCAGUUUCCACUAAAAACCAUUCGUUUUAAAAAUGUAUGCGUUUGUUUUUACGUAAUGGACCGCCGGUCCAUUAUACGGGAAAAUAAUGGACCGCUAAAAGUGCUUCUCAGCCAAUCACAGUCCGCCAUUCCGCGCGUAUGUAUAUCAUUUCAUGACAAUAUCUAAUGCACUUUGACACAGAAAGCUGGCUAUUUGCAUAUCAAAUUCUCGACAAGCAAUAUACCGGGUGUCCCCCAAAAAAGUGCUCCGGUUUGAUUCUUACUAACUUCAAAGCGAGUGAAGCAAUUAGCCUCAAAUAACUUUCAUUAAAUAGAGGAAAGGCUAACUUAGAUUUUGAUGUAUUAGACCGCGGUGGGAAUCGAACCUGAGACCUUUCGUUGGCAGGUUCAAUUCUCUACAAACUGACAGCUAUGAGGUCAAAUAAUUUCAGGUUCUGAAUUUGGGCAAAUUUUCAACGUUGUAAGUUGGGCAAAUUUAUUUUAAACGUAGGUUGGGAAAAAAGAUAGUGGAAUAAAUUUGAAAAGCAAGAAAUAUGACAGAAAAUUGUCGAAAAAGCAAGAAAUAUAUCUGAUGUGGUCAAAUAUUUUAAGCCCCACUUUUUUGCCCCCUCCCCACACGACAAGAAUUUUAGGAGUUUAAAGCAAAGAAAGAAUUUGAUUGAUCGGGCAAAAUGAAAAAAUUUGCGAUCCGCCCCCUAAUUUUUGCCUAUGAUGAUCGACGGAUUCAACGCUUGAUAACGUUGCCAUGUUGGUUUUGGAAUUUAGUUGUUUUCUAUUUUUAUGGCGCUGUAUAGUCACACUAGACAGAGUUUGUGUCAAAAAUAAUUUCGCUAUUUUAUUUCCUGUAUGUUUCCACAUUAAGAAAAAUUUAAUGUCGGCUGUCGAAAUCUAUACCCUAACAGUAAUCAGUAUUAAUAUUUCGCACUAUAUUUACUUUUCAACGCCAGCCUUAUUAGCUAAUCUCACAAUAAUAAUUAUUGAAUUUUAUGUAGAUUCCAUUUUUAAUUUGACGAAUAUUUGGUGAAAAGAGAAAAAAGUCACAUUGCGUCCAUAAAUAUAAAAUUAAGAGUCUUAGAUCACAUCGUGUCGUUUAUGAAAUUGUAAAGAUAGACUGGGGUGUCUUUCAGUGAACAUAUCACGUCGUUUCAGUAAAAGUUGUAAAAUAGUCUAGGACUAGAGUACAUUGAGUUGUUAGUAAUUUAGAAUAAAGUUCUUUUAAAUACGGCAUAUUAAUUGUUGUAGAUUUUUGUUGCAAGUACCCAGCAAUGUUUGCUAUAGAGCACUGAAAUGUAGAGAAACAAAUAAUGGAGAGAAACAAAGUAUUUCUGUAAUCCCUCUGCAUGGCAUAGUUUGAUAGAGAUAAAGAAACCUCUGUUUGCAGACAAACGAC